rnacentral:rRNA from 1 species
GACAUAGGUGGCGAACGUUAUCCGGAAUUAUUGGGCGUAAAGGGUGCGUAGAUGGUUUGAAAAGUUAGCGGUGGGAAAUCGAGGCUCAACCUCGUGGAAGUUGUUAAUACUAUCAAACUAGAGUGCAGGAGAGGUUAACGGAACUCAAUGUGGAGCGGUAAAAUGCGUAGAUAUAUUGAAGAACACCAAUAACGGCGAAGGCAGUUAACUAUUCUGUUACUGACGUUGAGGCACGAAAGCGUGGGGAGCAAAAAGG